GUCAAGAUGGCCGAGUUGGUCUAAGGCGCCAGUUUGGCAUGGGUUCGAAUCCCAUUCUUGACA
rfam:Oryza glumipatula chromosome 1, whole genome shotgun sequence.